rnacentral:rRNA from 1 species
GGAAUUUUCCGCAAUGGGCGAAAGCCUGACGGAGCAAUACCGCGUGAGGGAAGACUGCCUAUGGGUUGUAAACCUCUUUUUUCAGGGAGGAACAAAAUGACGUGUACCUGAAGAAUAAGCAUCGGCUAACUCCGUGCCAGCAGCCGCGGUAAGACGGAGGAUGCAAGUGUUAUCCGGAAUCACUGGGCGUAAAGCGUCUGUAGGUGGUUGAACAAGUCAACUGUUAAAUCUUGAGGCUCAACUUCAAAAUCGCAGUCGAAACUGUUUGACUAGAGUAUAGUAGGGGUAAAGGGAAUUUCCAGUGGAGCGGUGAAAUGCGUAGAUAUUGGAAAGAACACCGAUGGCGAAGGCACUUUACUGGGCUAUUACUGACGCUCAGAGACGAAAGCUAGGGUAGCAAAUGGGAUUAGAUACCCCUGUAGUC